rnacentral:rRNA from 1 species
UACGUAGGGUGCGAGCGUGGUCCGGAUUUAUUGGGCGUAAAGAGCUCGUAGGUGGUUUGUCGCGUUGUCCGUGAAAGUCCCUGGCUUAACUGGGGGCGUGCGGGCGAUACGGGCAGACUGGAGUACUGCAGGGGAGACUGGAAUUCCUGGUGUAGCGGUGGAAUGCGCAGAUAUCAGGAGGAACACCGGUGGCGAAGGCGGGUCUCUGGGCAGUAACUGACGCUGAGGAGCGAAAGCGUGGGGAGCGAACAGG